rnacentral:rRNA from 1 species
CAGGCCUAACACAUGCAAGUCGAGGGGCAGCGGGGAAGUAGCUUGCUACUUUUGCCGGCGACCGGCGCACGGGUGCGUAACGCGUAUGUAACCUACCUUAAACAGGGGCAUAACACUGAGAAAUUGGUACUAAUUCCCCAUAACACUUGAGAGGGCAUCCUUUUGAGUUGAAAGUUCCGGCGGUUUAAGAUGGACAUGCGUUGUAUUAGUUAGUUGGCGAGGUAACGGCUCACCAAGUCGACGAUGGGUAGGGGUUCUGAGAGGAAGGUCCCCCACACUGGUACUGAGACAGGGACCAGACUCCUACGGGAGGCAGCAGUGAGGAAUAUUGGUCAAUGGUCGGAAGACUGAACCAGCCAAGUCGCGUGCAGGAAGACUGCCCUAUGGGUUGUAAACUGCUUUUGUAUGGGAAUAGAGAUAUGUACGAGUACAUAGAGGAAUGUACCAUACGAAUAAGGGUCGGCUAACUCCGUGCCAGCAGCCGCGGUAAUACGGAGGACCCGAGCGUUAUCCGGAUUUAUUGGGUUUAAAGGGUGCGUAGGCGGGCGAUUAAGUCAGAGGUGAAAGCCCGGGGCUCAACUCCGGAACUGCCUUUGAUACUGGUUGUCUUGAGUCAUGACGAGGAUGGCGGAAUGUGAUGUGUAGCGGUGAAAUGCAUAGAUAUGUCACAGAACACCGAUUGCGAAGGCAGCUGUCUAGAGAUGAACUGACGCUGAGGCACGAAAGUAUGGGGAUCAAACAGGAUUAGAUACCCUGGUAGUCCAUACAGUAAACGAUGAGUGCUCGUUAUUUGUGUUAUAGGCAUGAGUAACCAAGAGAAAUCGAUAAGCACUCCACCUGGGGAGUACGCCGGCAACGGUGAAACUCAAAGGAAUUGACGGGGGCCCGCACAAGCGGAGGAACAUGUGGUUUA